rnacentral:lncRNA from 1 species
AAAUAGCAUGCAAUUACCAAAGUACUAACUAAGUGUCAUGCUUAAAAUUAAUAAGCUAAACAAUCUCAAACCUAAGAUAUAAAAACAAGAAAUAAUUAGUGUAAUGCCCAAUUUUAGCCCGGGCCCGGCACUAAAAAUAAACAAUUUAAAAAAAAACCAAAAUUAAAUGUCCAAGUCCAGUUUACAGGUCCAACUAAUACACCAAGCCCAAUGAACCCAGAGGCCCAAACACGAUAGCCCAACUACAAGAACAGGCUCGAAAGACCUAGAAUACUAAGGUUUUCAGAAAAACCUAGCCCUAAACCUAAUGCUUGCGCCGCAGCUAGCCUUUAACGCCUCCGUACUCUCCAGCAGCCACGCCCGCGCCUCCGUACGCCAGCACACAACCACUGUGCUCGCGCCACGCACACCCCGUACCUGCAAAAAGGACGAACGAACAACAAAAUAAAAAAACAAAUAUUGUAUUUUUUUCAUUUGUUUUUAUUUUUUCUAUCUCUUCGGCUAUAAAGCCAAGAGAUUCUAUUUUUGUAAGGUUACACAAGCAUAAAAAAAACGCAUAUUGAAUACAAAAGCAACCAAAAUUAGAAGGUGAUUUUCGAUUCAUAGUCUAUCUAUUUUUUUUUCAUUUUGCUUUUAAGAUUUUUCGUUGAAAACAAACAAAAAAGAGAUUUUGGGGAUACUUACUGGCGGUUUCGAUCGUCAGAGACCAUUUUCGGACUUGGAUAUCGAACCAAAGGAGGUGUCCUCUCGUUUUUCCGUGACUUGGGUCAAGUACCAUGGCGGAGGUGGAGGCGUUAACGCCGAUGAAACCCAGGAUCGGUGUUUGCACGAAAGGGGAUUAGAGUUCGGCGGUAUGAGAGGGGAAAGGAGGUGUCCUCUCGUUUUUCCGUGGGUCAAGUACCAUGGUGGAGGUGGAGGCGUUAACGCCGAUGAAACCCAGGAUUGGUGUUUGCAUGAAAGGGGAUUAGAGUUCGGCGGUAUGAGAGGGGAAAGGGAGAGCUUUGGGACUUGUUGAGUUCCUUUUCAAAUGGCUAAUAGUUG